rnacentral:rRNA from 1 species
GACGAACGCUGGCGGCGUGCUUAACACAUGCAAGUCGAACGGAAAGGCCCUGCUUUUGUGGGGUGCUCGAGUGGCGAACGGGUGAGUAACACGUGAGUAACCUGCCCUUGACUUUGGGAUAACUUCAGGAAACUGGGGCUAAUACCGGAUAGGAGCUCCUGCUGCAUGGUGGGGGUUGGAAAGUUUCGGCGGUUGGGGAUGGACUCGCGGCUUAUCAGCUUGUUGGUGGGGUAGUGGCUUACCAAGGCUUUGACGGGUAGCCGGCCUGAGAGGGUGACCGGGCAAAUUGGGACGGGGAUACGGCCCAGACCCCCACGGGGGGGAAGAGGGGGGAAUAUUGCCCAAGGGGGGGAAGGCCUAGGGAGCAACCCCCGGGGGGGGAAGAGGGCCUUUGGGGUGGAAACCCGUUUCCCCCGGGAAGAAGGGGGGGGGGCGGGAAAGGGGAAAAAAGCACCCGGCAAACUAGGG